GCAAAAAUGUAGCUCCUUCCACAAUUGAGGAUACAGAAGGAUAAUGAUUCCUCUGCGAAGACAAAUUGAACAACCCAUUACAGUUGAAACUGAUUCACUGACAUUCAGUCAAGAUAGCCACUACAGCAUAAGACUUUUUAUCUAGAGCACAGCCUACAGCUUUCAGAGUCUUAGCCAAUGCAACAUCCCUUUUAUUUUUGACUUUCAAGACUGCUGCAGAUGCACGGCCUAUGGCAUUGUGUGAAAAUUCUUAUUUUUAGAGCCACUACAGCAUAAGACUUUUUAUCUAGAGCACAGCCUACAACUUUCAGAGUCUUAGCCAAUGCAACAUCCCUUUGAUUAUUGACUUUCAAGACUGCUGCAGAUGCACGGCCUAUGGCAUUGUGUGAAAAUUCUUAUUUUUAGAGCCACUACAGCAUAAGACUUUUUAUCUAGAGCACAGCCUAAAGCUUUCAGAGUCUUAGCCAAUGCAACAUCCCUUUUAUUAUUGACUUUCAAGACUGCUGCAGAU